CCAGACUCCUACGGGAGGCAGCAGUGGGGAAUAUUGCACAAUGGGGGAAACCCUGAUGCAGCAACGCCGCGUGAGUGAGGAAGUAUUUCGGUAUGUAAAGCUCUAUCAGCAGGGAAUAGAAAAGAAGGUACCUGAAAAAGAAGCCCCGGCUAACUACGUGCCAGCAGCCGCGGUAAUACGUAGGGGGCAAGCGUUAUCCGGAUUUACUGGGUGUAAAGGGAGCGUAGACGGCGAUGCAAGUCUGAAGUGAAAGCCCGGGGCCCAACCCCGGGACUGCUCUUGGAACUGCGCGGCUGGAGUGCAGGAGGGGCAGGCGGAAUUCCUGGUGUAGCGGCGAAAUGCGUAGAUAUCAGGAGGAACACCGGUGGCGAAGGCGGCCUGCUGGACUGCGACUGACGUUGAGGCCCGAAAGCGUGGGGAGCAAACAGGAUUAGAUACCCUUGUAA
rnacentral:rRNA from 1 species